rnacentral:rRNA from 1 species
AUUGAACGCUGGCGGCAGGCCUAACACAUGCAAGUCGAACGAGUGGCGGACGGGUGAGUAAUGUCUGGGAAACUGCCUGAUGGAGGGGGCAAACUACUGGAAACGGUAGCUAAUACCGCAUACCAUCGGAUGUGCCCAGAUGGGAUUAGCUAGUAGGUGGGGUAACGGCUCACCUAGGCGACGAUCCCUAGCUGGGCUGAGAGGAUGACCAGCCAAACUGGACAUGAGCCACGGUCCAGACUCCUACGGUAGGCAGCAGUGGGGAAUAUUGCACAAUGGGCGCAAGCCUGAUGCAGCCAUGCCGCGUGUAUGAAGAAGGCCUUCGGGUUGUAAAGUACUUUCAGCGGGGAGGCGUUACCCACAGAGGAAGCACCGGCUAACUCCGUGCCAGCCGCCGCGGUAAUAC